rnacentral:rRNA from 1 species
AGUGAACGCUGGCGGUAGGCCUAACACAUGCAAGUCGAACGGCAGCACAGUAAGAGCUUGCUCUUACGGGUGGCGAGUGGCGUACGGGUGAGGUAUACAUCGGAAUCUACUUUUUCGUGGGGGAUAACGUAGGGAAACUUACGCUAAUAUCGCAUACGACCUACGGGUGAAAGCAGGGGAUCUUCGGACCUUGCGCGAUUGAAUGAGCCGAUGUCGGGUUAGCUAGUUGGCGGGGUAAAGGCCCACCAAGGCGACGAUCCGUAGCUGGUGUGAGAGGAUGAUCCGCCACACUGGAACUGAGACACGGUCCAGACGCCUACGGGAGGCAGCAGUGGGGAAUAGUGGACAAUGGGCGCAAGCCUGAUCCAGCCGUACCGCGUGGGUGAAGAAGGCCUUCGGGUUGUAAAGCCCUUUUGUUGGUAAAGAAAAGCAGCAGGUUAAUACCCCGCUGUUCUGACGGUACCCAAAGAAUAAGCACCGGCUAACUUCGUG